rnacentral:lncRNA from 1 species
ACUCUAUAUAGUUUUCCACUGCAGUGGAAUGUGCAUAUUCAGUUUAUAUGUUUGGCAUAAACCGAUAGAGGACAAAGGAUACACAAAAGUAUCUAUUUAUUCUGUUUUUUUUUUUUUUUUCUUUUUUUUUUUUCCUGUCACAUACGCUCCAAGUUGUUCUCUCACUCCCCCUCCUCUGCUGGACAAGGGUGGAUUUUAUCAACAUGCAAAUCAAUAAUUC